AUCAUGUCAUUUUUAGUUGUGAACAACUUCAAAUUAUCAAGUCUUCUUCGUUUAAGAACAAAAGGUUAAGACAUAAAUGAUGAAAAUUAUGAAUAUAUUUUGCUAAAUUUUUGUAUUUUUUUUGUCAGAUAGUUUAGUGACUAGAAUUCACCUUAUAAGAUAAAUAAGUGGGGUGUCCGAGAUUCGAAUUCUAACUCCUGCAUAUAAUAAUGCAUUUGUCCUACCAACUGAACUAUGCUC
rnacentral:lncRNA from 1 species